ACACUGUGCCUUUAACAAAAGACUGAAAUUGCGGGGGAAGCGUGACACCGGCUUGUGUGGGGCGUGUCAGGAAGAGGAGGCAAUAGAACGUGAUUCUGAGGUGCAGGAAGUAUGAUAUACAAAGGGAUGUGAUGAGGAGGAAGCUGAUGGGACACUAAAGCAUGACUGAACAUGGAUGAAAAGACACAUCAGAGGAAGUUGUUGAACUGUUUGAGGAGCACAGUCUAGUUUAAUGGGGUGUGUGUGAAGGAAUGCACUAAAGUGAUUGAUGCCACACACCGUUAAAAACGAACAUGAAGAAGAAUACUUUGCUUGUUUUUUCCCUCCUCUUUCUUCCCUUUGUUUGUAAAUACAUACUACGUAUAUGCAUACAUUUAUGUAUGUAUAAACAGUACAUACAAAUACGUACAGUAUAGAUGCCCAAGUACUCAACCUACGGAUACACACUCCGGUCCAGUAGAUGGCGGUAUGCACCUCAAACGUUGGCUGCGACCCGCCAUAAAGAAGACGAAAAUUGCGCAUGCGUACUACUAGGUAAAACGGCGCUUUCCCGCGUGUGCCUGCUAGCUGCUAACAAGGAGAUCAACACAUCGCGCUAAGCAGCGCUCAAGUGAGUGUUGUGAUUGUUUAGAAAUGUGUAAAGUACAAAUGUUGAGAGAUUUGGUGAAUCAGCGACUAACUACGGCAGUUGAAGAAAUAUUUCUAGUGUUGGACAGAACAAUAGCAGAGUACGAGGAGGAACUUUCUCGAACUAAAGAGAUCGAGCGACAACGUCAGAUACUGGACGCUGUUUUCAAGAAGCCUCGAGUUGUGUUAUACAGAGAAGCGCGGUCGUAAAAAUGGGCUAGAGGAGGAAGCAUGCGCAGAACCGAUUGCGUUUCCGAAGUCAGUGCAGAACAUCUUCCACCUGAUCAGGAGGAGGCACAGCCCCCCCACGUUAAAGAGGAAGAGAAUGAUCACAGCAUCAGUCAGGAGAAAGAGCAUCUUGAAGGACUGGAGGAGUUUCCAGGGAUUGGUGUCCCUGUGAAGACUGAAGAUGAUGAAGACAAAGGUGAAAGUGAGGAGAAGAGGGGUGGGGGGCCUCCAAGCAGCCGCUCGACUCAACACAUGACAACAGAAGCUGAUGGAGACCACUGUGGAGGAUCACAAGCACACAACCUCUUAGCUCCACUAUCAGAUGAUCACAACACAACGUCACUCUCUCCUGACACUGAUGAUGAAGGCGCUCAAGCUGAUAUGACAUGUCACACUGACAACACACGCUUUAAAUGCUGCCACUGUGACAAAGUGUUUAAAUACCGUAGUUUUAUGACAAGACACCUGAGAUUACACACAGGAGAGAAACCUUUUGCUUGUUCAGUGUGUGGUAAGGCUUUUGACCAUAGUGGACAUUUGAAAACACACAUGAGAAUACACACUGGUGAGAAACCUUUUACCUGUUCAGUGUGUGGUAAGGGUUUUGGACAUAAUCAAGACUUGAAAAGACACAUGAGAAUACACACUGGUGAGAAACCUUUUACUUGUUCAGUGUGUUUUAAGGGUUUUGGAAAAAAUGAACAUUUGAAAACCCACAUGAGAAAACACACUGGGGAGAAACCUUUCACCUGUUCAGUGUGUGGUAAGGCUUUUAGACAAAUUGGACAUUUGAAAACACACGAGAGUACACACUGGUAAAGUGUUGAGUUGCAGUGUGUGUGCUGAAGGAUUCUCUUAUAACGACCAGCUUAACAAUCACAAGUGUGUUGGUGAGAAGAGCAGCAGUAAAUGAAGUAGCAGGAUGUGGAAAAAGCUGUAAAGACUUGAGUAAUUUUGACUUUCUAGAAAGAAGAAACCUUUUACAUGUUCAGUGUCUGAUUUUGGUUUUGCACAAAAUCGAUAUUUGAAAAUACCCAAUGGAGAAAACCGUUUUACCUUUAUCUGUUCAGUGUGUGGUUAAAGUUUUGCACAAAAUCAACAAACGCCCCCCACAUGUUUGCGCCCAAUAAUACGGUGUGUCUUAUAUGUGUGUUAAAUACAGAAAUACACAACACCCAACAAAUUAUGAAGUCCCAAAGGAGACUGUACUUCCUGAGAAGACUGAGGAAAUUUGGCAUGUCCACCACAAUCCUGAGUUGCUUCUACAGAUGCACUAUGGAAAGUGUCCUUACCGCCUCCAUCACUGUUUGGUACGGUAACUGUACAACACGUGAUAGGAAGGCACUCCAGCGGGUGAUCAAGACCUCACAGAACAUUGUUGGGGCAGCCCUCCCCUCACUGCAAGACAUUUAUAAAACUAGAGUCCUACGCAGAACACACAACCUCAUCAAGGACAGCACACAUCCACAACACUCAUUAUUCACACUCCUACCGUCAGGCAGACGCUACAGGAGUUUGAAGUCCAGGACCACAAGACUGGCGAACAGCUUUUACCCACAGGCCAUCAGGCUUCUCAAUGAAGCACUCACACACGCCGCACGCAACACACGCACACACUCAUAGCACUUUAUUUAUUUAUCUAUUUAUUUGUAUUAAUGUCUCUUCUGUUGUUGCUGCUUAAUUUAUUGGUAUAUAUGUUUCUUAUGUUCUCAUUCUUUCUUGUGUUUUCUUUCUUUUCUUGGGAGAAUGAACAGAAUAAGAUUUUCAUUGCAUAGUAUAACUGCUGUUUUACUAUGCACAUGACAAUAAAACUCUCUUGAAUCUUGAAAUAGCAGCCAUAACUGAGACUGUGCCCAAUAAUACGAUGUGUCUUAUAUGUGUGUUAAAUACAGAAAUAGCAGCUAUAACUGAGACUGUGCCCAAUAAUAUGAUGUGCCUUAAAUACGGUAUUUCAACUUUCUUCUAAAGUAAUCUUUGUAAGUUUUCGUCUUGUAAUAUUUUGACUUUAUUGCCCUAUUUUGAUUUUAUUCCCAUCAUAUUAUAACUUUUUCCCCCAACCUAAUUUUUCAAACCUACAAUUAAAAAAAGUCACAAUAUUUCAACUUUCUGCUGAAAUGAUCUUUGUAAUUUUAUUUUAUUUGACUUUAUUCACAUAAUAUUAUAUAUAUAUAUAUAACAUACUAAUAUACUAGAACAUACUAGAACCAACCUACUAGAAUAGGACGUUUUACUCUUUAUAUUUGGACUUUAUUCCCGUAUAAUUACAGCUGUUUGUACCAUUACUACUUAUGUUUAUUUUCCCCCCCACUUGACUUCAUGCCCAUCAUAUUUGGACUUUAUUCUCAUAUGUUAACAUUUUCCCCGACUUAAUUUUUUUUUAAAGUAACCCUUUUUUUGUUGUGUUUUGUUUCGCACAAUAUUACAAGUUUUCUUCUUUUCAUAUUUCAAAUGUCUGCUGCUAAAAUGUAACAGUAUGACGUUCUUCUCGUAAAAUCACCACUUUUUCUUGUUAGGUUUAUAUUUUCGAGGGACGAGAGGGGGACAAAAACAAAAAAAGAGAGACAAGGACAACAGCAGCAACAACAACAAUAGUGACAGAACAACAGAAACAUACAGAACGACAUCAGCAAAUAAAUGUCUGUGACAACUAUCAAGACGAACAAGGACAUAAGGACAAAACAAUAUCAACAACCACAAUGACAAAGCUGUCAAUGACAAUCACACAUAAUAGCAGUCAUGAAAUGAUGAACUAUGAUAGUGAUCACAAUGACAAUACUGCAUUGAAACAGGCACACAUAAUUGUAGUAAUGAAAUGAUUAUCCAUGAUAGUGAACAGAAUGAAAAGUACUGUAAUGCACAUCAUUGUAAAUACAUAUAUAUAUA